rnacentral:tRNA from 1 species
GGAAAGGAAGUUCUAAGAACAUUUCGAUUACUCCGAAAAGGUAAAAAAUUUCUU